UACGUAGGGGGCAAGCGUUGUCCGGAAUUAUUGGGCGUAAAGCGCGCGCAGGCGGUACUUUAAGUCUGGUGUUUAAGCCCGAGGCUCAACCUCGGUUCGCACUGGAAACUGGAGUACUUGAGUGCAGGAGAGGAAAGCGGAAUUCCACGUGUAGCGGUGAAAUGCGUAGAGAUGUGGAGGAACACCAGUGGCGAAGGCGGCUUUCUGGACUGUAACUGACGCUGAGGCGCGAAAGCGUGGGGAGCAAACAGG
rnacentral:rRNA from 2 species